rnacentral:tRNA from 1 species
GCCAGGAUAGUUUAAUAGGUUAGAACGUUAAUUUCAUGAUUUAAUAGUGAGAAUUCAAUUUUCUCUUCUGGCC